GACAGAGGGGGCAAGCGUUGCUCGGAAUCACUGGGCGUAAAGGGCGCGUAGGCGGGAAGCCAAGUCGGUCGUGAAAUCUCCGGGCUCAACCCGGAGGAGUCGGCCGAAACUGGUUUUCUUGAGGGAGGCAGAGGAGUCUGGAAUUCCCGGUGUAGCGGUGAAAUGUGUAGAGAUCGGGAGGAACACCGGUGGCGAAGGCGGGACUCUGGGCCUACCCUGACGCUGAGGCGCGAAGGCGUGGGGAGCAAACAGG
rnacentral:rRNA from 1 species